rnacentral:rRNA from 1 species
UACGUAGGGUGCGAGCGUUAAUCGGAAUUAUUGGGCGUAAAGCGUGCGUAGGCGGCUGUGCAAGACAGAUGUGAAAUCCCCGGGCUUAACCUGGGAACUGCAUUUGUGACUGCAUGGCUAGAGUGUGUCAGAGGGAGGUGGAAUUCCGCGUGUAGCAGUGAAAUGCGUAGAGAUGCGGAGGAACACCGAUGGCGAAGGCAGCCUCCUGGGAUAACACUGACGCUCAGGCACGAAAGCGUGGGGAGCAAA